GUCGGCGCCCAGCUGCUGGGACGCCCGGGAGCUUCCCCAACCCGAAAGCCGCGGUCCCGGAAGCGGACGUCCCCUCGCCCCGCCUCUUCCGCUCUCCCCCAUCUUGUUCCCAGGGUGCUACACCGUGCGGCCUUCGGGGGCGUUCCAGGUGGCGUCUUAGGAGUGGCUGUGUGACCUUCUCUGGGAUGAGUGCCCGCUGGAGUGGGGAGCUGGGGAAAAUGCCGGUCACGUUCAGAGGAGGGCUAAGUGCUCCCCAAACCCAUACAUCCCGCAAACGUGUUUUGAGUACCUAGUGGUGCCGCGGCGCCGUCCUGAGAACCUAAAUACAAAAGGGUGCUGUCCUCUCCCCUCAGGGAGCUCUGUCUAGUAGGGAGUCGGUGGGAGCGCACCAGAAAAGAGGCAUCACAUCAUAUUAGGAGAACCUUUAUUCCUGCUUUUGCUGUACUGUGAUCCAAGAAGGCAGAAGUGGAGUAUGAUUUGUCAUCUUAAGUGAAGAGUUUGGCAUUUCUUAUAGGGUGUUGUCUUCAUAGACCUUGUGAUUUAGAUCCAUGAAAAUACCCCUGGUUCAUUAGGAGUUAGAACCUCAGACUGCAGCAAAGCUUCUUUGUUCAUCCUUGUUUCCAAAGGUCCUGGCCACAACUACUAUGCUCUUUGCUCUAGUAAGUUGACCCAGCAUAGGAGUCUUUUAGGCCCACCUUUGAAGAUGAUGGCUUAAUUCCAAGUUCCAGUACGUGAACCUGGCCAUGGACAUUGGCAGCUGACUUCCUCCAUAGUGACCCCAGAAGCUUUCAUCAGAAAACCUAACAGUGACUCCACUGUACCUUAAUUUAAUUUCUAUACAUAAAUUAUAUAAUGAUUUAUACAUUUAUAUUAUAUACAUAUAUACAUACUACUUAUAGUUUAGUAUACCCUACCUCCAGAACCACACUGAUGAAUUGUCUGUCUCGUUAACAUUUUUAUUAUGAUCCAGUUUACUAUCGAUUAGUAAAACAUCCAGUAACAGCCAAUGGAUAUAAAUGAAUGAGUUUCUCUUCAAUGAAAACAAACAUUCUUUGGUUCUCCAGCUCUAAGCUUCAUAUGGUGAAACUUUCUCUGGAAAGGAAAGGAGCUCAGAGUCCCAUACAGAAAAUUCUUCAGUUUUAAGGAUGUCAGAAAGAUGGAUUUCCGAAGCCAACCAUCUCCUGUACUGUGUGGAUUUCUGCAAGUAGAGCCUCAUCUUUCAGUUUCAGCUACAGGAACAAGGAAGGGAAGUACACAGGUUAUAUCUGAUACACCUAAGUAUCUUUGAAGAUGACCCCUCAUUUAUGGGGCCACAGCUAAAGAGCAAAGUCCCCAGGGAUGGGAUUGGCUUUUCCUAUAUUUAUUUCAUGGAAGCUCUAUUAAAAUACUUUAGAGCGUUAUUUUGUUUAUAUGGGUACCUUUACUUUCUCAAAAUGCAUCAGGGGCUAUGAGCUUUCAUGAUUUGUACAUUUUUUGUAAGGUCACUUUAUUAAAGUUUAUUUUUAAAAUUGUUCACAUUAUUACCAACAUCUCUUGGCUAAUAUGUAUAUUCCCAUCUGGCAAUUGACAGGAAGUAAUCAGAGAUACAUGAAUCACAGACUUAAAUUAUAUCUGAAUUUAAUUUUAGAAUCUAGGUAUGUAGGAAAGCCAUCUAGUAACCUGCUGAAUAACCUUCUCUUACUAGCAAAAUCUUAAUUUCUUCCCAGGGCAACAAUACUAAUCAGUUCAAAAAUCACAUUCCUGCUUCCUUGGCAGCUGAAGGUAGUCAGAUGACUGACUGUGGCCAAUGUAAGCUAAUGUCAUUGGGUGGAAUACCUAAACAAGCCCUGGAGGUAAAAUAGCUAUAGUGUAGGGUUCCUUGUUUCUUUUCUCCCAUUAAGCUAUAUUCUAAAACAGUGGAAAAAAAGAUCACCUAGACAACAUGUAGGUUAUGGUUAAAAACCUAGCAGCCCCAUGAUGAUGGCAAAGACAGUAAGAAAAAUCUCUCUAAAAAUAUUCACAUCAUGAAAUGCUCUAAAGUCCUGAAUUAAAUCAAGCACCUUUCUCCUUGUUUCCCAACCUCAGCAUGGUGCAGGCAAAAUGACAGAGGUAUAUGCAUCAUACCUUUAGUGUGUACUUGUAAGCCUGCUCUGCUUCCAGUUGCCGUCCAGCCUGAAAAAAGUUCAGCAGCUGGUGAUGAUGACAUGUCAUACACAUGGUAAGAAAAAUACAUUUCUCCAAAUGUUUCUACCUAACGAGAGGAUUAUACCUUCCUAGUUAAGAAACUGAAUUCAAAGGGGAAGCAGGAAAAUAAAAGGUGGUAAGUAAAGGCCAAUAUUUUUUAAAAUCUCUCCUUUAGCCCAGGAAAUUUUUAGAAACAAUUUGGCCUCUCAUUUUUUUUUCUGAAAAGCUCAUGAGUCAUUUGUUCCUCCUAGAAUUCAUGCCAUUUUGUUAGUAAUUGCAACAUUUUACAUGUGAUUUCCAUUGUUUUCCUCAUGAUGCUUUAAGUGCUUUAAAUAUAUUCACUUUUAAUCCUUAUAACCUGGAGAUAAUUACUAUUAUUAUUAUUAUUGGUACCAGAGAUUGAAAUCAGGGGCUCUUAACCACUGAGCCACAUCCCCAGCCCAUUAAAAAAAAAAAUGUUAGAUGAACACAAUACCUUUAUUUAUUUUUAUGCGAUGCUGAGGAUUGAACCCAGUGCCUCACACAUGCUAGGCAAACACUCUACCGCUGAGAUACAAUCCUAGUCCCCCAACCCUUUUUAUAUUUUAUUUUGAGACGAAGUCUUGCUAAGCUGUUUAGAACCUUGCUAAGUUGCUGAGGCUGGCUUUGAACUCGUGAUCCUCCUGCCUCAGCCUCCCAAGCCACUGGGGAUUAUGGGCAUGUGCCACCUCACUCCCAGAUAAUUACUAUUAUUUAUCAUUCCACGUUAACAGAAAGAAACUUAAGGCACAGAGAUUAUAAAUAACUUGCCAGGGUUUUUUAACUAGUAAGUGGAAGAUCUGGGUUUUAAAAAAAUGAAGUCUGGCUCCAGAGUCCAAGUUUUUACCUACUAUACUUUAUCCCAUCUCCAUGUAUUAUAAAAAGUAAAUAUUAGGAUUCCUUCCAUGCAGCUCUGGAUAUGAGGUGAGAAAACUAACUACUCUGCCCAGUUGAUAUAUUCCUUGCAUGAAGCUCUCCUCCAAGAGUUAAAUGAGAUGAUAUGUAUUCCCUAUUACACUUCACAAGUUUGAAUAUAAGAAGUUAGAAUAUGUAUAGUCACUAAGGAAAGCUUAUAUGUAAAAAACCACAGAAUAUUUGCACUGCAAGGGAACUUUGGAUGUUUAAUCCAAUCUCCUGAUCAGUGCUAGUCAUGUGGAAUUUUUACUAAUUCACAAAAUUUGGAUGCCCCAAACCCUCACUUCCUACAGCAUCUACCAUCUGAAAUAUUACCUCCUGAAGUUCCAGUAUACCUGCUCUUUCUACCACUACUACCUCUGACUCCCUCCUGAUGAAGGGAGGCAGAGGCCCAAAUGAUGUGAGCAUCCAGAAUAGUCAAAGCAGGUUUUUUUGUUUUUUUUUUUUAAACAUUUACUUUUAGUUGUAGUUGGACACAAUACCUUUAUUUUAUUUUAUUAUGUGGUACUGAGGAUCGAACCCAGGGCCUCACAUGCUAGGCGAGUGCUCUACCGCUAAGCCACAAUCCCAGCCCCUCCAAGCAGUUUUGAAAAAUAAUUUUAUUAUUCUGAACAUCAUUACAGUAAUGCUUAAUAGAGCUUCCAUGAAAUAAAGAUAUACAUUCUUAUGUGCGGAGAGUGGUGAUAGUGACUGGGAGACUAGUGUCUGAGGUUGGGCUCCCUGAUGACUUCAUGCCUAUGGCAUACUUGUUGACUGGGAAAGUUUCUGUGUAAAGGCAUAUGGAGAUGUCCUCCAUGCUAGAGUCUUAUCAGCUUUGACCUUAUUCUCAGGCACAGCAGCUCCUGGGAAUGAAGGAACUUCCUUGCUAAGGAAACAACAAUGUUUCACCAGUUCCAUGCUCCUGAAUCUGCCCUCAAAUUAGUAACUUUAAACAGUGGACUUUCCUCAGAGCUGCACAAAGCUCCUAACAUUGCACAUUGCAACUAUAGAAUGUAACUGAGGAAACAGCUGCAUUCUGUUGCUAAUUCUGUUAACUUCAUGAAUACAAAGAAUAAUGCUUGGGGAUGGGGUUGUGGCUUAGUGGAGGCCCUGGGUUCAUCCUCAGCACCACAUGUAAAUAAAUAAAAUAAAGGUAUUGUAUCCAACUACAACUAAUAUUUUUUAAAAAAAAAAAAAAAAAGAAUAAUGCUUGCAUAGCCUUUCAUCUGAUUUAGAGACAUAUAUGAUAAAGAUUGCUGGUGUAAUUCUUGAGACCUGAUUCUGCAUCAGAGAGCAGCUGCUCCAUCUGACUCCAGCUGCUUUAUCGUCAAGAUCUGCUUGUGUUUCCUCUUUAUUUCUUCCCAUCUCUCAUUGCCCCUUGCUGGAACAUGCUAGUUUGGCUGCACUGGUCGUGGCACUUAUCAUGUAUUUUUCUUAAGAAACGUAUUUAGAUAUGGCAUUGUGUUGAGAGCCAUAGACAAGUCAAGAUGGCGCCUGGCACUUUGCCAAGAGGAGUGGUUUGAGAAGUAACGCCAGCGAACCAUUAAGAUGAUAGAGAUUCCUUAAUGACUGACUGCUGUGUCUAGUUUAUGUUAAUUAAGUUAAGCUGUGUGUAAUCAUUAAGAUGCUGAUUCCUUAUUGGUUGACUGCUGUAUCUAGUUUAUGUUAAUUAAGUUAAGCUGUGUGUAAUUAGUUGGGUAUAUAUACUUCUCUGUCCCGUAAUAAAGCGGUUCCCGCUGUA